rnacentral:rRNA from 1 species
GUCUUGAUCAGUGGCGAACGGGUGAGUAACACGUGAGCAACCUGCCCUCGACUCCGGGAUAACCACCGGAAACGGUGGCUAAUACUGGAUAUGACCUCUUGCCGCAUGGUGGGGGGUGGAAAGUUUUUCGGUCGGGGAUGGGCUCGCGGCCUAUCAGCUUGUUGGUGGGGUGAUGGCCUACCAAGGCGACGACGGGUAGCCGGCCUGAGAGGGUGACCGGCCACACUGGGACUGAGACACGGCCCAGACUCCUACGGGAGGCAGCAGUGGGGAAUAUUGCGCAAUGGGCGGAAGCCUGACGCAGCGACGCCGCGUGAGGGAUGAAGGCCUUCGGGUUGUAAACCUCUUUCAGCUCCGAAGAAGCGAGAGUGACGGUAGGAGCAGAAGAAGCACCGGCUAACUACGUGCCAGCAGCCGCGGUAAUACGUAGGGUGCAAGCGUUGUCCGGAAUUAUUGGGCGUAAAGAGCUCGUAGGCGGCUCGUCGCGUCUGCUGUGAAAGCCCGGGGCUUAACCCCGGGUCUGCAGUGGGUACGGGCGGGCUAGAGUGCGGUAGGGGAGACUGGAAUUCCUGGUGUAGCGGUGAAAUGCGCAGAUAUCAGGAGGAACACCGGUGGCGAAGGCGGGUCUCUGGGCCGUAACUGACGCUGAGGAGCGAAAGCAUGGGUAGCGAACAGGAUUAGAUAC